rnacentral:rRNA from 1 species
UACGGGGGAUGCAAGCGUUAUCCGGAAUGAUUGGGCGUAAAGAGUCCGUAGGUAGUCAUCCAAGUCUGCUGUUAAAGAGCGAGGCUUAACCUCGUAAAGGCAGUGGAAACUGGAAGACUAGAGUGUAGUAGGGGCAGAGGGAAUUCCUGGUGUAGCGGUGAAAUGCGUAGAGAUCAGGAAGAACACCGGUGGCGAAGGCGCUCUGCUGGGCUAUAACUGACACUGAGGGACGAAAGCUAGGGGAGCGAAUGGGAUUAGAUACCCCAGUAGUCCUAGCGGUAAACGAUGGAAACUAGGUGUGGCCUGUAUCGACCCGGGCCGUGCCGAAGCAAACGCGUUAAGUUUCCCGCCUGGGGAGUACGCACGCAAGUGUG